rnacentral:rRNA from 1 species
CCUAUCUGGUUGAUCCUGCCAGUAGUCAUAUGCUUGUCUCAAAGAUUAAGCCAUGCAUGUCUAAGUCCAAGCUGUGUUUACACGGCGAGACCGCGGACGGCUCAUUAAAUCAGUCGUGGUCCAAAUGGGCCAGUGCUAAGUUACUUGGAUAACUGUGGUAAUUCCAGAGCUAAUACAUGCAACUAUACCCCGAUGCGAGCUCUGCGGGAGCUUGUCUCUCGUGGCCGUCUCCGCUGACGGGUGCUUUUAUUAGACCAAACCGCUGGAGGCCCUCACGGGUUUUUCUCGCUUUAUGGUGACUCUGGAUAACCAUCAUGACAAGCGCACGUACUCCUCUGUUGAGCGAGACGGCGCUGCCACUUUCGAGUGUCUGCCUUAUCAGCUUUCAAUCGCUCGCUACACGCGACCGAUGGCUUUGACGGGUAACGGGGAAUCAGGGUUCGAUUCCGGAGAGGCAGCCUGAGAGACGGCUACCACGUCCAAGGACGGCAGCAGGCACGCAAAUUACCCAAUCCCAGCACCUGGGGGAGGUAGUGACGAAAUCUAACGAUGUGGGCGCCCCUUGCGGGCCCCACAAUCGGAAUGAGCACUUUCUAAACAACCUGUUGAGAACCUACUGAAGGGCAAGUCUGGUGCCAGCAGCCGCGGUAAUUCCAGCUUCAGCAGCAUCUAUUAAAGUUGCUGCGGUUAAAAGGCUCGCAGUUGAAUGUCAGUGCCGGGCGUUGGUAGGUGGACGUUGGGGUGCGAGUGUUUUCGCUGUGGCGUUGCUCUCUCUCUUCGGAGUUGCGGGUGCGUCGCAGCAAGCUCGCUUUCCCCCGUCCGUGACAAGCCUCCGCGCUCGUGUACAAAGUGGAUCCUAUCUGGCAGGGCCCGCGUCUGGGGGUUUCUUUUCUGCCUGGUGCUCUCGGGUGUCAGCGCCGUGAGGGGAUUCUUUCUGCGGUGUCCCUACUUUGGUUUCAGUGUCACCUUGAGCAAAUCAGAGUGCUUAAAGCAGUCGUAACGGGCCUUGUGCCCUGUGAACAGUCUUGACGGACUGACUUGAUUAAGCAUGGAAUGUCGAAAGACGACGACGGCGGCUGGCUAAGAGAAAUAAUCAGUGGUGCAAGCCAGCCCCGUCGUAAUGAUUAAAAGGGCUUGUCGAGGGCAUUGGUAUUGCGGAGCGAGAGGUGAAAUUCUAUGACCUCCGCAAGACCGCCCGAAGCGAAAGCGUCUGCCAAGGAUGUUUUCAUUAAUCAUGAACGAAAGUUAGAGGAUCGAAGGCGAUCAGAUACCGCCCUAGUUCUAACCCUAAACGAUACCAACCAUCAAUCCGCGUGAGCACCCCUUUCAUACGGGCUCGGCGGGCAGCUCCUUUCCACGGGAAACCAGAGUCUCUGGGUUCCGGGGGGAGUCUGGUUGCAAAGCUGAAACUUAAAGGAAUUGACGGAAAGGCACCACCAGGAGUGGAGCCUGCGGCUUAAUUUGACUCAACACGGGACACCUCACNAGGCCAGCACUCUAGNAUGAUUGACAGAUUGAGAGCUCUUUCUCGAUUUAGUGGAUGGUGGUGCAUGGCCGUUCUUAGUUGGUGGAGCGAUCUGUCUGGUUAAUUCCGAUAACGAACGAGACUCUCCCCUGCUAACUAGUCGGUUGGAUCUUGAUUCGCGAGUAAUGUGGGCAUUGGUUUUCUCCUUGUCGCUGGUGUCGGGUGCGGUCUUGUGUUCGUUUCGACGGGCGCUUGUGCUGUGCCAGGCCCGUGACUUGCGGGUGCCUUUGUUCGCACACUCCAAGUCCGCCGUCAAAGUAAUUAUCUUCUUAGAGGGAUCCACGGCUCUGAAGCCGUCAGAGACUGAGAGCAAUAACAGGUCUGUGAUGCCCUUAGAUGCUCUGGGCCGCACGCGCGCUACAAUGCCGGGCACAGCAGGUCGUUUUCCUGCUCCGAGAGGAGCGGGGUAACCCUUUGAAAGCCCUUUUUCAUUCUCGUCCCCGUUCCUCGUGUUCGGGGGCGAAUGGCGUGCUUGGGCCUGGGGCUUGCAAUUGUUCCCCACAAACGAGGAAUGCCUAGUAGCGGUGGGUCACUGAGCCCACCGUGACUUAGUCCCUGCCCUUUGUACACACCGCCCGUCGCUACUACCGAUUGGGUGUACCAGUGAGCACCUUGGACUGGCGGCCGUAGCCCUAUCCAGGGAGACGGGAUCGACUGAAAGAGGUGCGAACUGGUACACUUAGAGGAAGUAAAAGUCGUAACAAGGUUUCCGUAGGUGAACCUGCGGAAGGAUCAUUA